rnacentral:lncRNA from 1 species
GCGUUUUGGGGGCUUAAACGCGCGUUUUGGGGGCUUAAACGCGCGUUUUGGGGGCUUAAACGCGCGUUUUGGGGGGCUUACCCGAUGCGGGGACCCCGCGCUGAGCCCGCUCGCCGCAGGCACCCAGGCGCUGCCGCCGCUCUUCGCCCUGGGCUACCACCAGAGCCGCUGGAACUACAACGACGAGGAGGACGUGGCGGCGGUGGAGCGGGGCUUCGAGGAGCACGCCAUCCCCUGCGACGUGCUCUGGCUCGACAUCGAGCACGCCGACGGCAAGCGCUACUUCACCUGGGACCCCAGCAAGUUCCCCCAGCCCCGCGCCAUGCUCGAGCGCCUGGCCGCCAAGAAGCGCAAGAUGGUGAGCAUCGUGGACCCGCACAUCAAGGUGGACAGCGCCUACCGCGUGCACAGCGAGCUGCGCGCCCGCGGCUUCUACGUCAAGACCAAGGACGGCGGCGACUACGAGGGCUGGUGUUGGCCGGGCUCGGCGGCGUACCCCGACUUCACCAACCCCGAGAUGCGCGCCUGGUGGGCCUCCAUGUUCGCCUACGACCAGUACGAGGGCUCGACCGAGAACCUCUUCACCUGGAACGACAUGAACGAGCCGUCGGUGUUCAGCGGCCCCGAGGUGACGAUGCACAAGGACGCCGUGCACCACGGCGGCUGGGAGCACCGCGACCUCCACAACCUCUACGGCUUCUACGUGCAAAUGGCGACAGCCGAGGGGCAGAUCCAGCGCUCGGGCGGGCGGCAGCGCCCCUUCGUGCUGAGCCGAGCCUUCUUCGCCGGCUCCCAG